GAACGAUACGGCGUCGAGCGGCGGACGGGUGAGUAAUGCCUAGGAAAUUGCCCUGGUGUGGGGGAUAACCAUUGGAAACGAUGGCUAAUACCGCAUAAUACCUACGGGUCAAAGAGGGGGACCUUCGGGCCUCUCGCGUCAGGAUAUGCCUAGGUGGGAUUAGCUAGUUGGUGAGGUAAUGGCUCACCAAGGCGACGAUCCCUAGCUGGUCUGAGAGGAUGAUCAGCCACACUGGAACUGAGACACGGUCCAGACUCCUACGGGAGGCAGCAGUGGGGAAUAUUGCACAAUGGGCGCAAGCCUGAUGCAGCCAUGCCGCGUGUGUGAAGAAGGCCUUCGGGUUGUAAAGCACUUUCAGUCGUGAGGAAGGUAGUGUAGUUAAUAGCUGCAUUAUUUGACGUUAGCGACAGAAGAAGCACCGGCUAACUCCGUGCCAGCAGCCGCGGUAAUACGGAGGGUGCGAGCGUUAAUCGGAAUUACUGGGCGUAAAGCGCAUGCAGGUGGUUUGUUAAGUCAGAUGUGAAAGCCCGGGGCUCAACCUCGGAAUAGCAUUUGAAACUGGCAGACUAGAGUACUGUAGAGGGGGGUAGAAUUUCAGGUGUAGCGGUGAAAUGCGUAGAGAUCUGAAGGAAUACCGGUGGCGAAGGCGGCCCCCUGGACAGAUACUGACACUCAGAUGCGAAAGCGUGGGGAGCAAACAGGAUUAGAUACCCUGGUAGUCCACGCCGUAAACGAUGUCUACUUGGAGGUUGUGGCCUUGAGCCGUGGCUUUCGGAGCUAACGCGUUAAGUAGACCGCCUGGGGAGUACGGUCGCAAGAUUAAAACUCAAAUGAAUUGACGGGGGCCCGCACAAGCGGUGGAGCAUGUGGUUUAAUUCGAUGCAACGCG
rnacentral:rRNA from 1 species